AAUACAUACACAUUUAUACAUACAUUCACAUAGGCUUUAGUGGUGACUCAUCGUGUUGGCAUCAAGCCAUACAAGUGUAUUUGGUCCAUUUGGCCCAUGUGGUACAUUAAAACUGCGGUACAAUGAUACUGUGGUGCAAUAGGCUAUUAGCAGUCAACAUUCUAACAUUUAUUGCAGUGAUCUCAUAGUGGCUCUGGCGUAGACCUAGCUUAUCAGUUGCUUUUGUUUACAAUGACUGGUAUUAGGCUUCGGCCUAUGUAACUUCGGU